rnacentral:rRNA from 1 species
UGAACGUUGGCGGCAUGGAUUAGGCAUGCAAGUCGAGCGCGAAAGGUCUGGUGCUUGCAUUAGACCUUGAAAGCGGCGAAAGGGAGAGUAACGCGUAGGGUAUCUGCCCCCGGGACUGGGAUAGCGGCGGGAAACUGCCGGUAAUACCAGAUAAUGUCUCCGGACCAAAGGUGUGAUUCCACCUGGGGAGGAUCCUGCGUCCUAUUAGCUAGUUGGUGAGGUAAUGGCUCACCAAGGCGAUGAUGGGUAGCGGGCGUGAGAGCGUGGCCCGUCUCACUGGGACUGAGACACUGCCCAGACACCUACGGGGUGGCUGCAGUCGAGAAUCUUCCGCAAUGGGCGAAAGCCUGACGGAGCGAUGCCGCGUGCGGGAUGAAGGCCUUCGGUUGUAACCGCUGUCAGUGGGUGGAGUUAGUUGGGUUCGUCCCAGCUAUUGACCUAACCGCAGAGAAGUCCGGCGUAGUACGUGCCAGCAG